GAUGAACGCUAGCGGCAGGCUUAAUACAUGCAAGUCGUGGGGCAGCAGGUCUGUAGCAAUACAGAUGCUGGCGACCGGCAAACGGGUGCGGAACACGUACGGAACCUACCCAUAACUGGAGGAUAGCCCAGGGAAACUUGGAUUAAUACUCCGUAACAUAUUGAGAAGGCAUCUUCUUAUUAUUAUAGCUACGGCGGUUAUGGAUGGGCGUGCGCCUGAUUAGGUAGUUGGCGGGGUAACGGCCCACCAAGCCUGCGAUCAGUAACUGGUGUGAGAGCACGACCAGUCACACGGGCACUGAGACACGGGCCCGACUCCUACGGGAGGCAGCAGUAAGGAAUAUUGGGCAAUGGACGCAAGUCUGACCCAGCCAUGCCGCGUGGAGGAUGAA
rnacentral:rRNA from 1 species